CCGACGUGGACAUCCAGGGAGGUUGCUCUCCUUGGCUCUGUCCUGGUGGCGUAUGGGAGCGUAGCUCUUGAGGAGCCGAGACGUACAUUCCCGUUCCACGACGUCGGAGACGAAGCUCCGCCCCCCCGGCUCUGUCGGCGAGGGAACGAGCGUCCUGCAUAUUCCUACAUCUUCCCAGAGUCCUGAUGGGGCCGUGACUGGGGAGCUAAACCAUGCAGUGCACAAAC
ensembl:snoRNA SNORA73 Small nucleolar RNA SNORA73 family